CUACGGGCUGCUCCAGUGAGGAAUAUUGCACAAUGGGGGGAACCCUGAUGCAGCAACGCCGCGUGGAGGAUGACGCAUUUCGGUGUGUAAACUCCUUUUAUAUGUCAAGAAAAUGACGGUAGCAUAUGAAUAAGCACCGGCUAACUCCGUGCCAGCAGCCGCGGUAAUACGGAGGGGUGCAAGCGUUACUCGGAAUCACUGGGCGUAAAGGACGCGUAGGCGGGUUGGAAAGUCAGGUGUGAAAUCCUACAGCUUAACUGUAGAACUGCACUUGAAACUUCUAAUCUAGAGUAUGGGAGGGGGAGAUGGAAUUAGUGGUGUAGGGGUAAAAUCCGUAGAUAUCACUAGGAAUACCUAAAGCGAAGGCGAUCUCCUGGAACAUUACUGACGCUAAGGCGUGAAAGCGUGGGGAGCAAACAGGAUUAGAUACCCUGGUAGUC
rnacentral:rRNA from 1 species